rnacentral:misc_RNA from 1 species
UCGCGGCUUAUCACCGGCAGUCCCCUUAGAGUGCCCAACUGAAUGGUGGCAACUAAGGGCGAGGGUUGCGCUCGUUGCGGGACUUAACCCAACAUCUCACGACACGAGCUGACGACAGCCAUGCAGCACCUGAACCAGCGGUCCCCGAAGGGAAAGUCCUAUUUCUAGGAAGGUCCGCUGUUGUCUAGUCCAGGUAAGGUUAUUCGCGUUGCAUCGAAUUAAUCCACAUCAUCCACCGCUUGUGCGGGUCCCCGUCAAUUCCUUUGAGUUUUAGCCUUGCGGCCGUACUCCCCAGGCGGGGCGCUUAAUGCGUUAGCUGCGGCACGGAAACCAUGGAAAGGUCCCCACACCUAGCGCCCAACGUUUACGGCAUGGACUAC